GUGUACCAAAUGGGGUCCCAGUGUACAAUGGCAGCAACCACUACCCUCCUUGAUCGUGUAUGCAGCCUGUUGAUUGUAUGGGUUGCCCUAAGAGACCUUGGAGAUAGCC
rnacentral:snoRNA from 1 species